AGUGAACGCUGGCGGUAGGCCUAACACAUGCAAGUCGAACGGCAGCACAGUAAGAGCUUGCUCUUACGGGUGGCGAGUGGCGGACGGGUGAGGAAUACAUCGGAAUCUACUUUUUCGUGGGGGAUAACGUAGGGAAACUUACGCUAAUACCGCAUACGACCUACGGGUGAAAGCAGGGGAUCUUCGGACCUUGCGCGAUUGAAUGAGCCGAUGUCGGAUUAGCUAGUUGGCGGGGUAAAGGCCCACCAAGGCGACGAUCCGUAGCUGGUCUGAGAGGAUGAUCAGCCACACUGGAACUGAGACACGGUCCAGACUCCUACGGGAGGCAGCAGUGGGGAAUAUUGGACAAUGGGCGCAAGCCUGAUCCAGCCAUACCGCGUGGGUGAAGAAGGCCUUCGGGUUGUAAAGCCCUUUUGUUGGGAAAGAAAAGCAGAAGGUUAAUACCCCGCUGUUCUGACGGUACCAAAAGAAUAAGCACCGGCUAACUUCGUG
rnacentral:rRNA from 1 species